rnacentral:lncRNA from 1 species
CAUUGAAAGUUCCCAAUUGCCCAAUCUAUCUUACUAUAUACCUGUUUAUUUGUCCAAGAAUAUCUCCAACCUUUUGAUCUGACAGGAGUAAGAUGCAGGUCAUAUAUCAGUUCUUUGAAAUCCUUUACCUCUGCAUCUGUUACAGGAGAUCCAAUUCUGUUCUCAGUUGAUAAGACAGCAUUGAAAUCUCCACUUAAUAACCAUGCAUCCUGGCUAGG